rnacentral:rRNA from 1 species
AGAGUUUGAUCCUGGCUCAGGACGAACGCUGGCGGCGUGCCUAACACAUGCAAGUCAAGGGGGCUUGGAGUAGCAAUACUUCAAGCUCACUGGCGCACGGGUGAGUAACACGUAGGUAACCUACCCUUUGGACCGGGGCAACUCCGGGAAACCGGGGCUAAUACCGGAUAUUAUCCCUGAUCAGCAUUGAUUGAGGAUGAAAGGCUCCAAAAGAGCGCCGAAGGACGGGCCUGCGUCCCAUUAGGUUGUUGGUGGGGUAAAAGCCCACCAAGCCUGCGAUGGGUAGCUGGUCUGAGAGGAUGACCAGCCACACUGGAACUGAGACACGGUCCAGACUCCUACGGGAGGCAGCAGUGAGGAAUCUUGCUCAAUGGCCGAAAGGCUGAAGCAGCGACGCCGCGUGGAGGAAGAAGUCCGUAAGGACGUAAACUCCUGUUGGAGGGGAAGAAUCUGGCGCCUCGAGCGCCAUUGACGGUACCCUUCGAGGAAGCACCGGCCAACUACGUGCCAGCAGCCGCGGUAAUACGUAGGGUGCAAGCGUUGUCCGGAAUUACUGGGUGUAAAGGGUCCGCAGGCGGACAAGUUCGUCGGAGGUGAAAUCUGCCCGCUCAACGGGCAAACUGGCUUCGAUACUGCUUGUCUUGAGUUC